UACCAAUUGAGAAACACCAGUUCCUUUAUGAUCACCAAAGUUAAGAAACAUUGAGCCUGGUCAGUACCUAGAUGAGUGACUGCUGGGGGAUACCAGGGGCUGUAGG